AUUUUAUGGUUCGAAAGAUAUAUUUAAAAAUAAAAGAUAAAAAUCCAAAAUUAAUUAUCUAUUAACGUGGAUUUGGACGACAAUAGGUUUUUAGUUUGUGAUGUUUCAUGUGAUGAUCAUUUUCAUGUUCAUCGUCUUUGAAUUGACAUGAGGAUAUCUAUGGAAAAGUAACUAAUCUGAAAGUAAGCCAACAUAUCGUUUGUCCUUUGUGUGCUAAAGAAAAGAUUUUCUUUUCGCAUCGUGAGGAAGUAUUACAUCAAUUAAAAAAUGUUAGGAAGUUGAUUACUUGUCAUGGAAAAGUAUACCAAUGGAAAUUAUUUGUUAAAGAAGUAUAAUUCUAAGGGUUUUAAGAAUAAAUUGGUUGAACCCAAAAUCUGGAGGAAGUACCUAUAUCCAUACACAGAAUAUGCCCAUUAAGAAUACUAGUCCAAAUUUGCUUUAAUGGAACGAUUAGGGCCCGAUAUAUUUGAAACUCAUGUUGGACAUAGUAUUGAGUUGGGUAGAAUAUUAUUCUACGUUAAGUGAGGAUAUCAGAUACCUAUUAUUGUACUGUAUUUUAAUAUAUACAUUAGAAUUG